GCUCUUAUUUGUGAGUACUUAAGACAGGCCUAUUUUUGCUCCUUUUGGAGUUCUAUGACAUUAAAACUUUAAGAUCAUAGGCUGCUCUGCCUAGGGAGUAGCCAUUCUUUUAUUCUUUUACUUCCUUAAUAAACUUGCUUUCACUUAAAAAGAAAAAACUUGAAGACCAUAGAGUUGAACCCAAUAUUCCUCCUUUUCCUAGUAGUAACUAUUUCAAAGAACAACUUCCUUCUUUCCUACUUUAAAUUUUAUAUUUAUUAUCAUGAUCUUAUGGAUUCUUCUUUCUUUCUUAUUCUUAAGUGGACUGUGAAUUAUUAUCACUAUUCUUUUUGAUUUCCCAAUUGAUUUGACCAGUGGGAAUUCCUUCAAACCAAUUCCUAUGUUCUUUUGAUAUUUCGCCAUCAAUCUUUGAGUACCUCUUUGUUUUCUGACAACAAGAGAUUCUCGACUUACCUUAUAUUUUCUUUGCCCCAGAGCCAGAAUCAGCUGUUUCUCUAAGAGGCAGUGGUUCUUUUUAGUGGAGAAUGGUAUUUAGAAAUCAAGAUGUAGACAUAAUAUGUGCUCUCUGCUACUGGGGUAUCAUUGCUUCUGGGCCCUUUCAUUACAGAGCUAAAAUAAAUAAAUGUAUGUAUAUGUAUUUCUGUCUCUAUCUUCAUCUAUUGGAGUCUCUGAUGGUUAGUUUUAUAUGUCAGCUUGGGUGGAUCACAGUGCCCAAAUAUUUGGUUAAACGUUAUUCUGGAGGUUUCUUUGAGGAUGUUUUUGGAUGAGAUUAACAUUUAAAUCUGUAGACUUUACAUGAAGCAGAUUACCCUCCUUAAUGUGAAUGGGCCUCAUCCAAUCAGUCGAAGGCCUGAAUAAAACAAAAGACUCAUGUCCCCCAAGCAAGAGGGAACUCUUCAGCAGAUGGCCUUCAGCCUUAAACUGCAACAUUGGCUCUUCUCUGGAUCUCUAUCUUGCUGGCCAACCCUGCAUAUUUUGGACUUGGAAGCCUCCAUAAUCCUGUACACCAAUUCCUUGAAUAAAUCUCUCUCUAUAUAUUUGUGUGUGUGUGUGCGUGUAUACAAAUCCUAUUGGUUCUGUUUCUAAUUAAGAAUCCUGAUUAAUACAAAGUCUGAAACAAUACAAUACCGUGUUCUUGCUCACCUUCCUCACUG
rnacentral:lncRNA from 1 species